AACGAACGCUGGCGGCAUGCCUAACACAUGCAAGUCGAACGAGAUCUUCGGGUCUAGUGGCGCACGGGUGCGUAACGCGUGGGAAUCUGCCCUUUGGUUCGGAAUAACAGUUGGAAACGACUGCUAAUACCGGAUGAUGACGAAAGUCCAAAGAUUUAUCGCCAGAGGAUGAGCCCGCGUAGGAUUAGCUAGUUGGUGUGGUAAAGGCGCACCAAGGCGACGAUCCUUAGCUGGUCUGAGAGGAUGAUCAGCCACACUGGGACUGAGACACGGCCCAGACUCCUACGGGAGGCAGCAGUGGGGAAUAUUGGACAAUGGGCGAAAGCCUGAUCCAGCAAUGCCGCGUGAGUGACGAAGGCCUUAGGGUUGUAAAGCUCUUUUACCCGGGAUGAUAAUGACAGUACCGGGAGAAUAAGCUCCGGCUAACUCCGUGCCAGCAGCCGCGGUAA
rnacentral:rRNA from 1 species